rnacentral:rRNA from 1 species
AACGAACGCUGGCGGCAUGCCUAACACAUGCAAGUCGAACGAGACCCUCGGGUCUAGUGGCGCACGGGUGCGUAACGCGUGGGAAUCUGCCCUUGGGUUCGGGAUAACAGUUGGAAACGACUGCUAAUACCGGAUGAUGGCUUCGGUCCAAAGAUUUAUCGCCCAGGGAUGAGCCCGCGUCGGAUUAGCUAGUUGGUGAGGUAAAGGCUCACCAAGGCGACGAUCCGUAGCUGGUCUGAGAGGAUGAUCAGCCACACUGGGACUGAGACACGGCCCAGACUCCUACGGGAGGCAGCAGUGGGGAAUAUUGGACAAUGGGCGAAAGCCUGAUCCAGCAAUGCCGCGUGAGUGAUGAAGGCCUUAGGGUUGUAAAGCUCUUUUACCCGGGAUGAUAAUGACAGUACCGGGAGAAUAAGCCCCGGCUAACUCCGUGCCAGCAGCCGCGGUAAUACGGAGGGGGCGUAGCGUUGCUCGGAAUUACUGGGCGUAAAGCGCACGU